UACAGAGGGGGCAAGCGUUGUUCGGAAUUACUGGGCGUAAAGGGCGCGUAGGCGGCCUGUUAAGUCGAACGUGAAAUCCCCGGGCUCAACCCGGGAACUGCGUCCGAUACUGGCAGGCUUGAAUUCGGGAGAGGGAUGCGGAAUUCCAGGCGUAGCGGUGAAAUGCGUAGAUAUCUGGAGGAACACCGGUGGCGAAGGCGGCAUCCUGGACCGAGAUUGACGCUGAGGCGCGAAAGCCAGGGGAGCAAACGGG
rnacentral:rRNA from 1 species